UGUAUGGAGUCAGAGAGCAAGAUCAAGAAAAGUGGUUGAAUAGUAAAAAUUAGGAGCAAACUGAAAUUUUGGGAGAUGAACUCAAAUGAAGAGGCUGCAUUUCCAAAAGAACGUUCCACGAGAGCAGAGGGCUUCUAGAGCGUAAACAUGUGCGUGUUCUGCGUGAGAACAGAAGUUAAGAUUCCAACAACACUGGGGUUCGGAACUCGAUGCCACGACCUCAGGACCCCGAAAGUUCUUCCCGGUCUCUGGAGAGGGAAAUACUUCAGCUCCGGGGGAGAGCCGGCAGAAAACCAGGUGACACCAAUGCUGCGGCACCUUAUAUACAAAAUCAAGGCAACUGGUCCCAUCACUGUAGCCGAGUACAUGAAGGAGGUCUUGACCAACCCUGCCAAGGGAUAUUAUGUGUACCGUGACAUGCUAGGAGAAAAAGGAGAUUUCAUUACUUCACCGGAAAUAAGUCAGAUCUUUGGGGAGCUGCUAGGUAUAUGGUUCAUUAGUGAAUGGAUGGCCACUGGAAAAAAUGCAGCUUUCCAGCUUGUGGAAUUGGGCCCAGGAAGGGGUACCCUCACAGGAGAUAUUUUGAGGGUGUUCAGUCAGCUUGGAUCUGUGCUGAAAAACUGUGACAUUUCAAUACAUCUGGUAGAGGUGAGCGAAAAAUUGAGUGAGAUUCAAGCAUUAACACUGACGGAAGAGAAGAUCCCGCUAGAGCGGAAUGCUGGGUCCCCCGUAUGUAUGAGAGGUGUUACUAAAUCUGGGAUUCCAAUCUCGUGGUACCGAGAUCUGCAGGAUGUUCCAAAAGGGUACAGCUUUUAUCUGGCGCAUGAAUUUUUUGACGUUCUUCCUGUGCACAAGUUUCAGAAAACACCCCAAGGAUGGCGAGAAGUACUCAUUGAUAUCGACCCACAAGUUUCUGAUAAGCUGCGGUUUGUUUUGGCGCCUGGUGUCACACCAGCAGAAGUCUUCAUACAACGUGAUGAAAUAAGGGAUCACGUGGAAGUGUGUCCUGAGGCCGGUGUUAUCAUACAGGAGCUUUCUCAGCGCAUCGCACUAACCGGAGGUGCGGCACUGAUCGCUGAUUAUGGUCAUGAGGGAACGAAGACAGACACCUUCAGAGGGUUUUGUGGCCACAAGCUUCAUGACGUCCUGACUGCCCCUGGAACGGCGGACCUCACAGCCGAUGUGGACUUCAGUUAUCUGCGCAGAAUGGCAGGGGGACAAGUAGCUUCUCUUGGGCCAAUAAAACAACAGAUGUUUUUAAAAAAUAUGGGCAUUGAUGUCCGGCUGAAGGUUCUUUUAGACAAAUCAGAUGAGCCAGCCAGGCAGCAGUUACUUCAUGGGUAUGAUAUGUUAAUGAAUACUCAGAAGAUGGGAGAAAGAUUUAAUUUUUUUGCCUUGCUGCCUCAUCAGAGACUUCACGGGAGAAGCCAUCCGAUGGAUGCGUGCCAGUCGAAGCCCUCUGUGUCACCUGUAGCUGGGUUUGGUGAACUUACCUGGCGGUGAUCUCAGUGUGGUCAUUUUACCCCUAAGUCUGCCUAAGAAAGCAAAAUAAAGGGACAUGUUUCAUAUAUCACAGGUCAUGGUCUCAGGGGUUGUGGGAUCUCCAGUCCCACGUCAGGCUCCAUACGCAGCGUGGAGUUUGCUUGGGAGUCUCCCUCUCCCUCUCUCAAAAUAAAUGACAACCUACAAACAACAGCUGUGCAGUAAAACAUCAGUACAUAAAAUGAAAUCCUUCCUUAUUGAAGUUAGCUCAUUGAUAAUUAAGGAUCUUCUUCCAUAUCAUCUGGAUUGGGAGCCAUAAUGAAGUGCUUUGGGUAUACAAGAUUGUGGGUGUAUGCAUGUAUUUCCCAGCGGGCAUCGUCACUUUCAUGUGUAAUGUAACGUUCACCGAUGCGAGUUUCAAAUUCUCUAAGGUCAAGCCAAGUCUGAUAGUCCUAGAAAAAAAAUGAGGUGAUUAUAAAGUAUAAAAGUAACAAAAUACUGUGAAUUUUUUUUCUUAGCACCCUAGUCACAAAAUUGACAACCUAAACCCAAUACCAAAAGUACUUGCUAUACUGUAAGUUCCAUUUGUAAUAUUUAAAUUAGCAAUGUUAAAUACUUUUUCAAAUUUAGAAUCUCUAAUGAAGUAACCAGUUUCUACAACUAAAAAAAAAAAUUUGCCUGAGGCUUCUGAGAUGGCUAAUAAUAAUCACUAAAACAUCCUGUUCUAUACUCUGACUGUACACCCACAUAUUACUCCUCAAACCAGGGGAAAGUACUUAGAAUCUCCUACCAGGGUAAUUUAAUAAUCAUGGAGACUGACUAAGACUGCAUUUGUUUUGAAGUUAAUGCUACUCCCUACUCUCUUUAAAACAGUUCUAAAGCUUCUCUUUACUCUGAAGUUUGGGGGUAUCUUUUGACAGAUCUAUGCAACAGCUUUUGGGGGGACUUCAGCCAAAUCGCAUUAAAUGGCAUUUCUGAUCUCAUCAAUGCAAAUAUGAAUCUUUUAGUGGAUAAUUUUAAAGUAAAAUAUAUUUGACAAAAUAAUAUGCUUAUCUUACAAAAAGGUGGUAUGAAACAUAAGGUUCUAUAAAAAGGCUAAAUCACUGCUUUUCAGUUCAUGGGAGUUUAACUGUCUAGAAGUUUUACAUUUCAGUGGCUUACUGCAAAACCUCCAGAGAUGCAGCCACAGGAUAAAUUAAUCACUAAAGAAAACUUAACAGUAUUCUAAGACGAGGAGAAUCUGUUGAUCUUAGAGUGGUUUCAGUAGGGAAGACAAAGUACAAUGAAUGGCCUGAAUGAGGAUCACCAGAGAGACGAGGGUUUUUUUUUGUCUUUUUACCUGCAGCCAGGGAUGACUAAGAGAUUUGUCCACACUGUAACGUUUUCUCAUCUUCACUUGAAGUAGGUUGUUGAUCAAAUCAAUUGCUAAGAGAAAAGACAAAAUCAGACACGUAAAUUUGGGUAUAUGGAGCAAACCAAACCUGUGAGUCUUAGAAGGCAGCAGUUCAAAUCACAGAAAUACAGGGUCGAGGGUUUUGCUUCUCAAGGCUGCAGUCUUAACAGCGACCCUGCGCAACUACCCUGUUAGGAUCCAUAAAUGUUCACUGCACUUAGUACACGUUCACAUGCACACUGAAUGUGUGCAGAGUACACAUUCAGUGUGGCAGAGGGUCGGUGAGUGCCUGCUGCCGUUACUCUGUUUUGUUGUCUACAAAAUGAGGUUGUUGUAAAGAUGAAAUAACACAUGUAAAGAGCUUAGAAUUGUGCCUAGCACGUAAGUGCUAGUUAUGGCUAUUAUUAUUUCAAAAUGAAUUAAAAAAACUGAUCAAAGACCAA